UAUCAGUCCUCCUCACUUUGGCCUCUUCCCUUCCUCUCCAGUGUUUGCUGCUGUCCGUUCUUGUGGCUUUUGGUUUCUGUGGUAUGAGCUGUAUUCGCUGUGAACUUUCUCCAUUGCUCAUUUCAACUGCUAAUGUGUAAAAUGGAGGCCAUCAUUCCUCAGAAGGUUGUUGGGAGAGGCAAUACCAGGACUGUCUGUUCAACAGGUUGGUUGGUAGGAGGAUGAAAUAACAUGAAAGCACAGCCUCGUUGCUCCGUUGAACCUGCUGACUGAAACAACUUUAAACACAGAGCCUCGCGUGUUGCAAUCCUGCGGACACCUCCCUGUGAGAGGAGGUGGAUCUGUGUGAGAAAUGUCCACACUCUCAAUGGAGCCAAACAGCAGUAGCGUUUCCAGGAAGCUGUGAGAAGAGUCAUGGGAAACGGGGUCUGCACAGAAUGCCCGGAGGAAAAGGGCCCGGAAGGAAGAGCUGCGCUUUAGUGUCUGCGCCAGCCUCCGCAGUGUCACACAGGUAACAAGCUGGACUUGCAAUGGGCAUCUGAAGUAAAGACAUUCUUGCAGGCUUGAGCCCUUAGCCCAUGGGAUCUGAUGCUAACUCCAGGGAGACAGUGUUGGAAUGGAGUUGAAUUACAGCUGGUAUUGCAGAAUUGCUUGAUGUGUGGAAAACUGCUGCCUCUGGUGUCGGUAAUACUGAAGAUGUCCUGUUGAUCAGUGGACUUUACUUCCUGAGACAUGCUACAACCCGUAUCUAUCCACCACAACCAGUAGCAGAGGUGACACAGAAGCCGCUCCCAGACAGGACUAGCCAGGCCUCGGAUAACUGCAAAAGUUCCUCACCUUGAGGGUGUCCAGAUUUCCUAAGCACGUUGCUGAGAAGAACAGGUCUACAGGGGCACAAUGAAGCCUUCCUCAGUCGUGACUCCCAGUGAGCAUACAGACUCCCUGAGCUCUCCCUUUCUGCCUGUAUACAGGGCACACACCCUAGAAAUCAUUACCAGCUUGAGAAGACACAUUUAGGCUUUGUGCUUUUUUGAAGGAAAGGCUCUGAUGAUGAUGAGAUAUGGUGAAAGAAGAGUAUCUUGAAAUGUGUUGGAGUGAUACUCUGUGAUUCGGUUUCAGCGACCAGCCUCUAUAGUUACCCUCCUGGCUUUCACCUGUGCCCCAGGAUCUAUAGCUCUUUUGGAGGAGAACAUAAACCUGGUUACUUGUGUGCAGGAACUUUACACAGAACGCAGCCCCAGGACAGAGGUAAAGACCUGGGAUGCCAUGCACUCUGAUGGGGUGACAGGAAGAGAGAGCUGGUCAGCACUAUGUGGAAGUGCUCCUUACCCAACUGUGAUCUCCAGCUAAUUGCUUCAAGGCUGGCUGCCAUGAGCUGCCUACCUCCUAGGACCCUAUCACUUAGGGGAAACCAGGGGAUAGAGUAUUUCUCUGAUCCUUUUUCUGUACCCAAUACCUUCAAGCUUCAAACCCCUCACAGUGGGUGAAAAUGCCUCCACUUUUCUG